rnacentral:rRNA from 1 species
UGUCCUCCCCUAUCGAGUCUUCAGUGUCGGGUGUAAUGACUCGUUACGCAGGUAACGAGCAAGCAGUCUGCAAGGGGAGUACCGUGGCAAGACUAAAACUCAAACGUAAUGACGGGGACCCGCACAAGCCGUGGAUGAUGCCCAUUAAUUCGAAGCAACGCGAAAAACCUUACCUACCCCUGACAUGGCGGGAAUCCCCGAGAGAUUGGGGAGUGCUCAAAGAGAACCAGUACACAGGUAUCUGCAUGGUCGUCGUCAGCUCCUGUCCUGAGAUGCUGGGUUAAGUCCCGCCACGAGCGCAACCCUUGUCAUUAGUUGAUCCGAAAGGGCACUCUAAUGAGACAUUCGGCGACAAACCGGAGGAAGGUGGUGAGGACGUCAUGUCCUCAUGGCCGUUAUGGGUAGGGCUUCACACGUCAUACAAUGGUACAUCCAGAGCGCCGCCAACCCGCGAGGGGGAGCUAAUCGCAGAAAGUGUAUCGUAGUCCGGAUUGUAGUCUGCAACUCGCCUGCAUGAAGUUGGAAUCGCUAGUAAUCGCGGAUCACGCAUGUCUGCGGUGAAUACGUUCUCCGGGUCUUGUUCACACCGCCCGUCACACCAUGGGACCGGGUUCACCAGAAGUAGGUAGCUUAACCGUUAGGAGGCGCGU